CCACUGCUAUCGGAAUAGGACUAAGACAUGCUAGUUGAGCGCUUCCAGCCAAUACGGGAGCGCAGCGCACAGCUCAGUAACACGUGGCUAAUCUGCCCUUGGGACCGGAACACCCCCGGGAAACUGGGGCUAAUUCUCGAUAGGUGAAGAACUCUGGAAUGAGUCUUUGCCAAAAAGACGUUUACGUUAUGCUCGUAGGCGUCGCCCAAGGAUGAGGCCGCGACCGAUCAGGUUGUUGGUGAGGUAAUGGCUCACCAAGCCUUUUACCGGUGCGGGCCGUGAGAGCGGGAGCCCGGAGAUGGGCACUGAGACAAGGGCCCAGGCCCUACGGGGCGCAGCAGUCGCGAAAACUUUGCAAUACACGAAAGUGUGACAGGGCUAUCCCGAGUGCCAUCCGCUGAGGAAGGCUUUUACCCAGUCUAGAACGCUGGGGGAAUAAGGAGAGGGCAAGUCUGGUGUCAGCCGCCGCGGUAAUACCAGCUCUCCGAGUGGUGUGGAUGUUUAUUGGGCCUAAAGCAUCCGUAGCUGGCUGAGUUAGUCCCUUGUUAAAUCCACCGAAUUAAUCGUUGGAUCGCGGGGGAUACUGCUCGGCUAGGGGACGAGAGAGGCAGACGGUAUUUCUGGGGUAGGGGUGAAAUCCUAUAAUCCCAGGAGGACCACCAGUGGCGAAAGCUGUCUGCUAGAACGCGCCCGACGGUGAGGGAUGAAAGCUGGGGGAGCGAACCGGAUUAGAUACCCGGGUAGUCCCAGCUGUAAACGAU
rnacentral:rRNA from 1 species